rnacentral:lncRNA from 1 species
UCAGAGCUGGGAGGCCCCACCUGCCUGUGGUUCUUUCACAAGCAAGCUGAGAAAGGAGCCAGCUCCAGCUCUGGGAGUCCUUCUGCCCUGGAAGCCUGACCCAGGCUCCCGGAACACCCACUCAGCUCUGGACAGAACGGGGGCAUGGUGGGGGCAGAUGACUUCUUCAGGGCCCUCCCAGGGUCGACGUGAAGCCGACAGGCUCUGCUGACUGCUUGGUUUCAAUUUCUGGCUCUGCCAUUUGCUCAUAAAUAGUGCCAGGUUGUUCCGUAAGACAGGAUGGCACAGAGCUUUAAGCAACAGCUCUGGCAUCUGACUUCCGUGUUUGCAUCUGGCUUUGAGUGUGACUUUGGACAAGUUCCUUAGCUGGCCAGAUACUCUUGUCCUCAUCCAUAAGAUGGAGCAACAACGAAGCCUUUCUCAUAGGUUAUUGUGAGGAUUGAAUGAAUUAGUAUAUGCCAAGCAUUUGAAGCAGUGCCUGACAUGUAGUAGAUGCUGAGUAACACUGGGGAUCUGCCUUUUCUUUUUCCUCUAUGUGACUGGCAGCCUUAGCCAGACCACAUCAGCUGAGAUGAUUUUCUCUGUAAGUUACCAGGAUCACCUAGAUCUGGCCAAGGACUUGCCCCUGUAAGGAAAUUUGGAAUAAGCAAAAAAGAUCACUAGGUGUCGCCGAUGGAAAACUAGGUUGUUUUGAGCAUACCUU